rnacentral:rRNA from 1 species
UACGUAGGGGGCAAGCGUUGUCCGGAUUUAUUGGGUUUAAAGGGUGCGUAGGCGGCCCGUUAAGUCAGUGGUGAAAGCCUCCAGCUCAACUGGAGAACUGCCAUUGAUACUGGCGGGCUUGAGUACAGACGAGGUUGGCGGAAUUGAUUGUGUAGCGGUGAAAUGCAUAGAUACAAUCAAGAACACCGAUUGCGUAGGCAGCUAACUAGGCUGUAACUGACGCUGAGGCACGAAAGCGUGGGGAGCGAACAGG